GCCAGGUCGCAGUUGUAAAUGAGAACUUGUUCUCAACUGGCCUACCUGGUUAAAUAAAGGUGAAAUAAAAAAAUUGUAUGACAGGGCGACUUAAUAAGAGGCUAGAGGACUGGAGAGUUCUGGAGAUGAAGGAAUAUUGAAAUUAUACAAUACAACACAAUACUGAGUACCACUCUCCAUAUUUUCAAGCAAAGUGGUGGCUGCAUCAUGUUAUGGGUAUGCUUGUAAUCGUGAAGGACAGGGGAGUUUUUCAUGUUAAAACAGAAACGGAAUGGAGCUAAGAACAGGCAAAAUCUUAGAGGACAACCUGGCUCAGUCUGCUUUCCACCAGACACUGUCAGAUUAAUUCACCUUUCAGCAGAACAGUAACCUAAAACACAAUCCAGGUGUGGAAAACUUUUAGAGACAUACUCAGAUAGACUCACAGCUGUAAUCUCUGCCAAAGUUCUACAAAGUAUUGACUCAAGGGUGUGAAUACUUAUGUAAAUUAGAUAUUUAUACUAUAUAUUUUAUUUCUAAAAACAUGUUUCCACUUUGUCAUUAUGGGGUAUUGUGUGUAGAUGGGUGAGAAAAAACAUGUUUAAUAUAUGUUUAAUAUAUUUUGAAUCCAACCUGUAACACAACAAAAUGUGGAAUAAGUCAAACUCGAUACCAUUACAGAGUCACAGAGCAUUGCUGCGAUAGCUGAGUGUGAUGUUUACCUAUAGUGCAGGGCUACACAGGUAUUUAGAGUUUCAAAUGUUACAAGGAAAUGGAGCAGGGAAAUCUGUUAAGUCGCUUAAUCAUUGAUUAACCUUCCUGAACAUUCCAAAUCCCUCAAUUGUUUUUGCCCAGUGAAUGCUAAAAUGAACAUGGACACUAGCAAAUUACACUGGGGACAUCAAGAAUAUAAUCUUGGACAGUAUCAGCUCAAGCACAGUGAGUGGGAUUUCUUUCCUUUGAUACCUAGUGAUAUUAUCAACUGCCUGAAGCUAUUUUAGCACAGUGGUUAGAGGUUCAAAUAAUGAAUGUCUCUUAAUACUUUAUCUUUCUAAAAAUGGACUGUAUUGUAAUACUGUACUGUAGGUUUGUAAACUUUGCAAAUAGACGACCUGUCUUUUAUCAACCGAAUCAGACUUUUUCAAGUGUUCUGAUUUGCAAUGCCUUUUCUACUGAGAGUAUAUGAAAGAAUCUCGCCACUCACGUACUAAUACCACUUGAAACGAAGUGCAGCUCUUAUGUAGUUUAUGUUUUUUACCACCUCCCACCCCAACGUCCCAAAGCACGGCCUGGUCCACCUCCUGCUCUGCCAGCAGAGAGCAGUGUUUGAGAGCAAACACAGGAAAGUCCCUACCAGUCACCAUCUCCACUGUAGCCUUCUACAUAAUCAGAAAUUAUAGAAGAGAAGGUGAGUCGCACAGUUAAGUGAUGUGAAUCUACAACCUCUUAGUUUAGGGACCAUUCCAAACUGGGUCUUUUUGACAAUCACUCAUACAGUAGGACAACCAAUCAGUCUUCAGGCUAUUUUGGAGUCCAACCCACUGCCAGUCAUCAUCCAACAAAUAACGCCACUCGUUCUGCCGUGGCUGUCAGGAGGUCAUAGGCUGGACACUGACAAUCACACGCACCUAUGAGGAGCAGCUCUUAAUGGGCUUUCCUUUCAGCAGCAAAGGUAUUCAUGGCUUGAAUUCAUUUUAAAGAAAUCUGAUCUAUCAUUAGUUGAAACCUGCUCUGAAUGUAACAGCAGGUCAUUUGUAUGGUGACCUCAAAUAUGUAUACGUUUGUCAUAUAGCCUUUUACCACAAAUAGUGAGAACUUUGCAUUUGAGUCCAAAAGAAUGCAGAUUUAGUCUCCGAGAACUUAUUAUGUGUUGUUGUUAUGCAGGAAUCCUCUCCAGACACACUCCUCUGGUGCUGCCCAUGUAUAUGAAGGAGGUGCAUAGUGCACUGGCAGAGGGGUUGGAGAGAUCGAUGAGCUGGGCCACAGGAACAUUUUAUCUUUCAAGAUAUCACCGUUUUCAAUUAGAGUUGAUUGAAAAGGGUCACAAAUAAAUGGAGGGGAAGCCAAUCUACAUGUACAUGAGCCUGAAGAUCCAGGGUGAUGAAAUCAACCUCUACCAGCACCUUGACUAUGAGACAACGAGCCUCCUGCUUUACAGAGAAAAGCAGCAAGACCCCCACCUCUACCGCCUAAACCACAAUAUUUACAAAUAGCUAGACACAAACUUCCAACCCUUUCUUCAUCAUUGGAGAACAAUUCCCAGUCCUACUCUGGUGGCUCUUGGCACCCACUCUUCUGCUCCUUAGCAGAGGUGCCCUCUAAUCUAGUGUGUGGCACAGGUGUGCUCCAGCCUGCGACUGCUCAACUUGGGCUAGUAAUGCCAGGCCUUUGAGAGGGAGAAGAUUGAUGGGGACGUGUUGAACACAGUGGAGCCCAGCAUGAUGAGGAAGACCCUGGGUAUGGGGUACCUGCACGUGGAGAAGCUGCUCCGCUUCCAACAUGGCUGGAGGCCCUUACUUAGGUCCUUUGGAGCUGAGCAGGUUGGGUAGUAACGGAUUACCUGUAAUGGGGAUAUGCAAUCAGAUUAUAAAAAUUACAGGGGCAAUCUGGGAACCAAAAACCAAUAAAGUGGUCAUCCUGCCACUUUUUUGGUAACCAGCUGCAUUUUUUGGUAACCAGCUGCAUACAUAAAAGGACAUUUUGGAAAAAUGUAUUGCAUAUUUUAUGUUAGGCUAAGUACCAUUUACAUUGGUAAUGGUUGAAGUGUCAUUCAAAAUAAAGGUUACUUUUGAAGCAA